UGAGGAAUAUUGGUCAAUGGGCGAGAGCCUGAACCAGCCAAGUAGCGUGCAGGAUGACCGCCCUAUGGGUUGUAAACUGCUUUUAUAAGGGAAUAAAGUUAGUCUCGUGAGACUUUUUGCAUGUACCUUAUGAAUAAGGACCGGCUAAUUCCGUGCCAGCAGCCGCGGUAAUACGGAAGGUCCGGGCGUUAUCCGGAUUUAUUGGGUUUAAAGGGAGCGUAGGCCGGAGAUUAAGCGUGUUGUGAAAUGUAGACGCUCAACGUCUGCACUGCAGCGCGAACUGGUUUCCUUGAGUACGCACAAAGUGGGCGGAAUUCGUGGUGUAGCGGUGAAAUGCUUAGAUAUCACGAAGAACUCCGAUUGCGAAGGCAGCUCACUGGAGCGCAACUGACGCUGAAGCUCGAAAGUGCGGGUAUCGAACAGGAUUAGAUACCCUGGUAGUCCGCACGGUAAACGAUGGAUGCCCGCUGUUGGUCUGAACAGGUCAGCGGCCAAGCGAAAGCAUUAAGCAUCCCACCUGGGGAGUACGCCGGCAACGGUGAAACUCAAAGGAAUUGACGGGGGCCCGCACAAGCGGAGGAACAUGUGGUUUAAUUCGAUGAUACGCGAGGAACCUUACCCGGGCUUGAAUUGCAGAGGAAGGAUUUGGAGACAAUGACGCCCUUCGGGGCCUCUGUGAAGGUGCUGCAUGGUUGUCGUCAGCUCGUGCCGUGAGGUGUCGGCUUAAGUGCCAUAACGAGCGCAACCCCUCUCCUUAGUUGCCAUCAGGUUAAGCUGGGCACUCUGGGGACACUGCCACCGUAAGGUGUGAGGAAGGUGGGGAUGACGUCAAAUCAGCACGGCCCUUACGUCCGGGGCUACACACGUGUUACAAUGGCAGGUACAGAGAGACGGUCCCUUGCAAAAUGGAUCAAAUCCUUAAAGCCUGUCUCAGUUCGGACUGGGGUCUGCAACCCGACCCCACGAAGCUGGAUUCGCUAGUAAUCGCGCAUCAGCCAUGGCGCGGUGAAUACGUUCCC
rnacentral:rRNA from 1 species